ACCAUCGGCUGGAUCUGUGAAUUCUGAGGUUACGGAGACUGUACGCUGCAGCUCCAUGAAUGAGGCCAUGAAAUUUCCCUCAGGAGACCCUGUCCCUUCACAACCAAUUCUCACCCUUACACCACUUCAUGGCUGCAGCCAUACUCGUCUGACAACUCAGGACACAUAGAGCACAUGCUCCGUAUGGGUCGUGCACAUGAGCGGUGUACCGAACAUCAGCUCAUUGUGACUCCACCCACAAUAGCGCUACACUCUAGAUCAGGCCCACUAUGCAGUACAGCCUUAUGGGGCUGGGUCACAGGAACCUCGCAGACACUGACCAGGACUCUAUGGCUGUGGGGAAAUAGGAGACUUAAUGACCACUCUAUUCCAUAUUUACUAUGUUACAUGUGCAAUAUGUUUUAUGUAUUAUAUUUAUUCCAAGGAACUCCAGCUGUGGGGAACGGACACUUUAUUACACAUCACACGUUCUGUAUUCUCUCUGAUUCACCGAGGAUGGACAAGGACAGGAGUCACAGGACUGAGAGGAUAAUAAAUAUCACCCUGGAGAUCAUCUACCUGCUGACUGGGGAGGAUUACACAAUCGUGAAGAAGACAUCCAAUGGGUGUGAGACACCCAGCAGCCAUCCCCAUGUAUCAGGAGGACUGAGAAGAACCCAGAGCCCAAUCACGGUGCCUCCACCUCACUCACUGACACAUGAGAGACACAAUGACAAGAAGAUCCUGGAACUCACCAACAAGAUCAUUCAGCUGCUGACUGGAGAGGAGGGGGAGUAUAUAGAGGAACACAGGGGUCUGUACAAGGACGUGAUGAUGGAGAAUCACCGGCCCCUCACAUCACUGGGUAAGAGGAGACUGUCAUCUAUUGUACAGGGGA